rnacentral:rRNA from 1 species
AUAGGUGGGAGGCUUUGAAACCAGGACGCCAGUUUUGGCGGAGCCAUCCUUGGGAUACCACCCUUGUAGUACUGGGACUCUAACCAUAGGCCAUGAAUCUGGUCUUGGGACACUGUCAGGUGGGCAGUUUGACUGGGGCGGUCGCCUCCCAAAAGGUAACGGAGGCGCGCAAAGGUUCUCUCAGUACGGUCGGAAAUCGUACGUAGAGUGUAAAGGCAAAAGAGAGCUUGAUUGCAAGACAUACAGGUCGAGCAAGGAUGAAAAUCGGACUGAGUGAUCCGGUGGUUCUGCGUGGAAGGGCCAUCGCUCAACGGAUAAAAGCUACCCUGGGGAUAACAGGCUUAUCUCCCCCAAGAGUCCACAUCGACGGGGAGGUUUGGCACCUCGAUGUCGGCUCAUCACAUCCUGGGGCUGUAGUAGGUCCCAAGGGUUGGGCUGUUCGCCCAUUAAAGUGGUACGCGAGCUGGGUUCAGAACGUCGUGAGACAGUUCGGUCCCUAUCCGUCGCAGGCGUAGGAAAUUUGAGAAGAC